ensembl:lncRNA
GGAGAUGCAGGACACAUGGAUUUGAUCUCUGGGUUGGGAAGACCCUCUGAAGGAGGAAAUGGCAACCCAUUCUAGUGUCUUGCCUGGGAAAUCCCAUGAGCAGAGGAGCCUGGCGGUCUAUGGUCCAUGGAGUCACAAAGAGACUGAACAACAACGAUGAGGUGACUUAGUGUACUGUGAGUGUGAUUCACCUGAGUGAGUUUCGUAAUAUCUGGCCACAUAGGACAAACAGAUAAAAUUCUAUUCAGUUCAGUUCAGUUCAGUCACUCAGUUGUGUCCGACUCUUUGCGACCCCAUGAAUCGCAGCAUGCCAGGCCUCCCUGUCCAUCACCAACUCCCGGAGUUCACUACCAGACAUAUUAAAAAUGAAAGAACAUGAUCUCUGAGACUGCCCCACAAAGCCAAGUUUGAGCCACCAGCCACCUGCCACCUUACUGGCCGCCCUGAUGCAGGGCCACCCUGAUGACACAUCUGGACACCACUCCAGAUGGUUUAAAACCACAAAAUGUGGUUUAUUCACAGCCACACAGAGCAGGGGAUGGGGAGGCAGGGGGCAGCCCUGUUGUUUCUGAUAGCCUACCUCUGAUAAGGUCUGAGAUCUCCCCAGGGGUCCUAGCAUGGCAGAGGGCAAUCGAUUUCAUGAAUUGUAUUGAACAAUCAGGCAGUCCCAGAGGUCCCAAAUGAACUGUGACAGCAGAACCCAGCCAAUGGACUGGGGAGGUAAAAUCUGGAUUGUAGGGUGCGUGUAUGCUAAAUCGUGUCCGACCCUUUGCGACCCUGUGGCCCAUAGCCCACCAGGUUCCUCUGUCCAUGGAAUUCUCCAGGCAAAAAUACUGGCGUGGGUUACCAUGCUCUCCUCCAGGGGAUCUUCCUGACUCAGGGAUUGAACCCAUGUCUCUUCCAUCUCAUGAACUGGCAAGUGGGUUCUUUACCACUAGUGCCACCUGGGCGCUGCCUUCAAGGUGAGAACAGGGAAGGAGUGAUGGCAAGGCUGUGCAGUUUCUAGUCAAGGGUAGCAGCUUAACUCAUGUGUUAGCCUUUACUCUCUUCUGAAACCCAACAAAAAUAACAUUAAGCUUAAAAAAAGAAAAGACAUCAACCACAAGGACAAAGAGAAGGAAGAAAACGUAGCAUAAUUAAAAACAGAGAGAUCAAAGACAACAUUUCUGCUAAAUGUUGCCACCAGGCUCUUCCCCCACCUAGUUUGCAGAAAUCAGACAGAGUAUUCAUAAUAUUUUCAGGC